rnacentral:rRNA from 1 species
AGAACGAACGCUGGCGGCAGGCCUAACACAUGCAAGUCGAACGGAUGUAGCAAUACAUUAGUGGCGCACGGGAGAGUAUCGCGUGGGAACCUUCCUUUUGGUUUGGGAUAACAUCGGGAAACUGGUGCUAAUACCGGACAAGCCCUUCGGGGGAAAGAUUUAUCGCCGAAAGAUGGGCCCGCGUUGGAUUAGCUAGUUGGUGAGGUAAUGGCUCACCAAGGCUACGAUCCAUAGCUGGUCUGAGAGGAUGAUCAGCCUCACUGGGACUGAGACACGGCCCAGACUCCUACGGGAGGCAGCAGUGGGGAAUAUUGGACAAUGGGGGCAACCCUGAUCCAGCCAUGCCGCGUGAAUGAUGAAGGCCUUCGGGUUGUUAAAGUUCGUUUUGACGGGGACGAUGAUGACGGUACCGUAGAAUAAGCACCGGCUAACUUCGUGCCAGCAGCCGC